rnacentral:rRNA from 1 species
UACGUAGGGUGCAAGCGUUAAUCGGAAUUACUGGGCGUAAAGCGUGCGCAGGCGGUUGUGCAAGACAGAUGUGAAAUCCCCGGGCUUAACCUGGGAACUGCAUUUGUGACUGCACGGCUAGAGUGCGGCAGAGGGGGAUGGAAUUCCGCGUGUAGCAGUGAAAUGCGUAGAUAUGCGGAGGAACACCGAUGGCGAACGGCAAUCCCCUGGGCCUGCACUGACGGCUCGAUGCACGAAAGCGUGGGAGCAAACAGG